CCUGCCCAGUGAGUUACGACUUCAACGGCCGCGGUACCCUGACCGUGCAAAGGUAGCAUAAUCCCAUGCCUUUUAAUUGAAGGCUAGUAUGAAUGGAUCCACGAGCGAUCUAUUGUCUCAUAGCUACAAAAAUAAAUUAGCCUUCUUGUGAAGAGACUAGAAUUAAAGUAAAAGACAAGAAGACCCUGUUGAGUUUCACUUAACUUAUCUAAAAAUAAUAGCAACAAUUAUAUUAUUUAUAGCUAAAUAAGUUUGAUUGGGGCAAUCGAUGACUAACCUCACCGUCAUUAUAAAAAAAGAACCUUUUCGCCAAAUUAUCCAAGUAACAAAUGAAUAAGAAAUAAUAUUACCACAGGGAUAACAGACCAAUCUCCUUAACGAGCCCGAAUCAUAAAGGAGGAGUGGCACCUCGAUGUUGGCUUAGGGAAACCUUUUGGUGCAGCCGCUAAAAAGGUUGGUUUGUUCAACCAUUAAACCCCUACGUGAUCUGAG
rnacentral:rRNA from 1 species